CACGAACGCUGGCGGCAGGCUUAACACAUGCAAGUCGAGCGCCCCGCAAGGGGAGCGGCAGACGGGUGAGUAACGCGUGGGAAUCUACCCAUCUCUACGGAAUAACGCAUGGAAACGUGUGCUAAUACCGUAUACGUCCUUCGGGAGAAAGAUUUAUCGGAGAUGGAUGAGCCCGCGUUGGAUUAGCUAGUUGGUGGGGUAAAGGCCUACCAAGGCGACGAUCCAUGGCUGGUCUGAGAGGAUGAUCAGCCACACUGGGACUGAGACACGGCCCAGAAUCCUACGGGAGGCAGGAGUGGGGAAUAUUGGACAAUGGGCGCAAGCCUGAUCCAGCCAUGCCGCGUGAGUGAUGAAGGCCCUAGGGUUGUAAAGCUCUUUCACCGGUGAAGAUAAUGACGGUAACCGGAGAAGAAGCCCCGGCUAACUUCGUGCCAGCCGCCGCCGUAACAC
rnacentral:rRNA from 1 species